AACGUUCGCUGGCGGCAGGCUUAACACAUGCAAGUCGAACGCGUGUAGCAAUACACGAGUGGCGCACGGGUGAGUAACGCGUGGAUAUCUGCCUUUUGGUUCGGAAUAACCCCGGGAAACUGGCGUUAAUACCGGAUGGUUCCUACGGGAUAAAGAUUUAUCGCCAAAAGAUGAGUCCGCGUACGAUUAGCUAGUUGGUGAGGUAAUGGCUCACCAAGGCGACGAUCGUUACCUGGUCUGAGAGGCCGAUCAGCCACACUGGGACUGAGACACGGCCCAGACUCCUACGCGAGGCAGCAGUGGGGAAUACUGGACAAUGGGGGCAACCCUGAUCCAGCCAUGCCGCGUGAGUGAUGAAGGCCUUCGGGUUGUAAAGCUCUUUUGGCGGGGACGAUGAUGACGGUACCCGCAGAAUAAGCCCCGGCUAACUUCGUGCCAGCAGCCGCGGUAAGACGAAGGGGGCUAGCGUUGUUCGGAAUUACUGGGCGUAAAGCGAGUGUAGGCGGUUGUCCAAGUUGGAUGUGAAAGCCUUGAGCUCAACUCAAGAAAUGCAUUCAGGACUGGGUAACUAGAGUACCGGAGAGGAUAGUGGAAUUCCCAGUGUAGUGGUGAAAUACGUAGAGAUUGGGAAGAACACCAGUGGCGAAGGCGGCUAUCUGGAC
rnacentral:rRNA from 1 species